GAUAGGGACCGUUUGCUCGGUGAAGUUGAAAAUCUUUAUGCUGGUGAUGGACAACCACAAAAGUUUCAAGAUGUUCAUACCCAGAAGUUAAAGGCACUUGAGGGACAGAUUUUGGAUCUUAAGAAGAAACAAGAGAGCCAGGUUCAACUUUUGAAGCAAAAAC